AGAGUUUGAUUCUGGCUCAGGAUGAACGCUAGCUACAGGCUUAACACAUGCAAGUCGAGGGGCAGCAUAUCGAAAGCUUGCUUUGAUGAUGGCGACCGGCGCACGGGUGAGUAACGCGUAUCCAACCUUCCCUAUACUAGAGGAUAGCCCGGCGAAAGUCGGAUUAAUACUCUAUGUUCUUCGUAGAAGACAUCUGAAAUGAAGCAAAGGUUUACCGGUAUAGGAUGGGGGAUGCGUCUGAUUAGGUUGUUGGCGGGGUAACGGCCCACCAAGCCUACGAUCAGUAGGGGUUCUGAGAGGAAGGUCCCCCACAUUGGAACUGAGACACGGUCCAAACUCCUACGGGAGGCAGCAGUGAGGAAUAUUGGUCAAUGGACGAGAGUCUGAACCAGCCAAGUAGCGUGCAGGAUGACGGCCCUAUGGGUUGUAAACUGCUUUUAUACAGGGAUAAAGUUCACUACGUGUAGUGUUUUGUAGGUACUGUAUGAAUAAGGACCGGCUAAUUCCGUGCCAGCAGCCGC
rnacentral:rRNA from 1 species